AUGUAGCAAAAGAAACCAACCUCAUUAAGAACUAUGGGACAUCUAUGUGAGAACCACUGUUUCAUUUGGAAUCACAAGAGAAAAUAUAUGAGAUAACCUCAAAAAUGACACCUGUCCUCAAUGAAGCUACUGAUUUGGUGUGUUAAAGUAAAAUAAAAAU